rnacentral:lncRNA from 1 species
AGGCAGAGGGGGAGGAAGGAGGCUGGCUGAAGACCAGGAACAGAGAGAAGAGCCCACUUCUCCAUCAAAAGGUCUGUUCGGUUAACGCAUCCCCAGAGCAGGAGUUAAUCGAGGACUGGAUGCAGUGUAAAAGGAUCAAAAGAAUGUGAAUAAUGGUCUCUGUGCUCAUCAGCUCUGGAACAUUUCGCUGUGUUGAGGAGAAGAAGAUGAAAACCAAGCUUUGAGACGCACGUAAAUGUAUCAUAAGCUACCCGACCGAUAUAUAAACAUAUAUAGGUUCUUUGCAUGUAAAUCCAAAAGAAGAGCACCCCAGAAGCCUCUGGAGGAGGGAGGGGGCUGGAGCAGCAAAACUUGGCAGAGCAAAUGUAUCCAAGGAUUUCGUGCCAGAAUUCCUGAGAAGCUUUGGAGGAAGAGGAAGAAAAAGAAAAAUAUGAAAUUAUCCCUAAACACACACUUGAAACUGGAGACGCCUAAAGGAGAGUAGAAACGGAGAAGAUGAGGUUUUUCUGGGAACCACGGAUCCGUCAGCCAAAUGAGCAAUCGCCACAGAAAAUCCUAGGCGGAGCGGUAGCUCCAGAUGGGUCCCCUGCUCGCGUCCCCGCCGCUGCCGCUGCUACCUGUAGACAGGCACACACACACACACACACAC